UACGAAGGGGGCUAGCGUUGCUCGGAAUCACUGGGCGUAAGCGCACGUAGGCGGCUUUUAAGUCAGAGGUGAAAUCCUGGAGCUCAACUCCAGAACUGCCUUUGAUACUGAGGAUCUUGAGUUCGGGAGAGGUGAGUGGAACUGCGAGUGUAGAGGUGAAAUUCGUAGAUAUUCGCAAGAACACCAGUGGCGAAGGCGGCUCACUGGCCCGAUACUGACGCUGAGGCACGAAAGCGUGGGGAGCAA
rnacentral:rRNA from 1 species